CCUACGGGGGGCUGCAGUGGGGAAUAUUGGACAAUAGGGGGAACCCUGAUCCAGCCAUGCCGCGUGUGUGAAGAAGGCCCUCGGGUUGUAAAGCACUUUCAGUGAGGAAGAACGCCUGGUGGUUAAUACCCAUCAGGAAAGACAUCACUCACAGAAGAAGCACCGGCUAACUCCGUGCCAGCAGCCGCGGUAAUACGGAGGGUGCGAGCGUUAAUCGGAAUUACUGGGCGUAAAGCGCGCGUAGGUGGCUUGAUAAGCCGGUUGUGAAAGCCCCGGGCUCAACCUGGGAACGGCAUCCGGAACUGUCAAGCUAGAGUGCAGGAGAGGAAGGUAGAAUUCCCGGUGUAGCGGUGAAAUGCGUAGAGAUCGGGAGGAAUACCAGUGGCGAAGGCGGCCUUCUGGACUGACACUGACACUGAGGUGCGAAAGCGUGGGUAGCAAACAGGAUUAGAUACCCCGGUAGUC
rnacentral:rRNA from 1 species